UUUUAAAUAUAGAUUUAGGAAUAGUGAAUUCUGGCAUAAAAAUUUAAUAUGAUAAACUUUUUUUUUCUUUUACAUUGUAAGUACCCAAUCCAUUCUGUCCUUACUAAGUGUAGUUUUCAUGUUAAUGUUACUGGAGUUGUCCUUAUUUCUGAGACUUCAUUUGCAUGUCUUAUGUUUUUUUGUCUGUUUUAGCUAAAACAAUUUUAUGCUUUUAAAAUAUUUUAGUUAUAAAGCAAAAUAUCUGGCGAGAGAUGUUUUUAAAAUGUUUACAUACAGUAAAUGUUAACCAGGUGUUUUCACACUAACAUGUACAGACUAAAAUAUUUGGGGAGAACAUUUUUUGAGUUUGUGUAGUCUGGAGAGCCACUGGCUGUCCUUUUAAUGUACAGAGUAAAUCUGUCACAGGAACCUAGAUUUAAGCCUCGAGUUCUAAGGAUACUGUCAGUCACCAUAACUGGACAACAUUUUCUAUAGCUUUUUGAUGCUACACCAUUGCCAUAUAAAGAUCUCUAAAUGUCUUAACAAGAUACGUUUUGGCUUGCAAAUUUACCAGAGAAGUGGGGAUACAGAGUAUAUAGCUCUAUAUUUAUAAGUCUGUUUUUUAAAAAGCUAAACAACACAACUUCACCUUCAGAACUGCAUUCAUCAGUGGUGAGCGGAGCUUGUUAGCAGCUCUGCUUUUUGUGGAGGGAGACUGCGGAUCCAUGCUGGUAUUACAUGGCUGUUAAAUUGUUCCUCCCCCCCCCCCCAUCUACCUCCAAACAGUAAGAUUAUGAAGGAGGCUUUUAGAAGACGAGUAGACGAAAGGGAACCCCCUUACGUGUUUAUCCAUCUAAUUACUGAAGAAUCUGGCUCGCGAAAAACAAAGAGGGACUGUUUUCAGAACGGUGACCACGAGCCUGUAAAGGUCUCACUAAAAUGCGCUGCAAAAUCCUUCCCUACGAGAGGCAGCUACCUUCGAAACGGUCUGAAAAUAGAUCCACGAGGGAGGCUGCCUCCAAAGGAGGGAGAUUUUGCAGCCUGGAUUGUUACAGUCGGGAAGAAGUGACGCAGUUGAUGUUCACAGCAGUUCUGUGCUUUCAUGCAGCUACUGAGCCCAUGCAACUAACUCCCAGCUGAUUUUUAUUUUAAAAUCUGCUAAUGCACCAAGCUUGUAAUGCCUUUGCAGCCCAGUGCCACGAGAAAAACCGGGAGGCUGUCUGGCAUUUCAGCAUGCAGCUCCAGGUUGUACUCCAUAUUGUUUGUGAGAGGGGGUGGGGUAGUGGUUCGUAAUGGCUUCUUCUUUGUAAUGCUGUAUUCUUGUCAAGUUGGGGGGCAGCAGCCCGUCUGUGUCUCCCAGUGUCUAGCGUUGUUUCUAUUUCCGAUCAUUGCAGGGAGAUGACUGCCCGCCCCCCCUUGGUGAGGCUCGUGGAAAGUGAAGAAGAGAAACUUUCAGAUUGCAAAACAGCUCUAAUCCCUGAACUCGAGUAAGCUCUCUCCACGCCUCCAGAGAGCUGCGGCCUGCUCAUUUUCUCCACUCCCUCUGAGAGGAGUCGGUGAUGAUGAGCAGAGCUCACUUUAUUUCCCAACACCUUCCUUGCUGGUGAAGUCCUUCCUUUUCUCUCAGUGUGACUCCUCUCUCAACUGAUCAAUAACAUGCUGAGGUCUCUGUCUCCUGAGAGGACUCUGUAAACCAGCCUCCUGAGAGAGAUGCUCUCAAGGACCAGGAUUGCAUACCAUAAACAAACGAACAAACCCCCAAAACCUGUCUCCGUCAUCAGUUUCUUCUCCUUACUGAAACAACCUGCAGGACUCUGGAAAUUAGCUAACCACUUGGGAGAAAAAGAGUUUAACUAGCAGGUGGAGAGAGAGUUAAACACCUAAACUUCUGCAAAUCUCACUAGGCACCUGUCUGGAUCUUUAGGUACAUAUCCAUGGUGACAGGAAACGAUCCAUCAGUUCACUAUUUACUGUUCAUUCUUCCAUUGUUUUGCAUUUAAAACUGAUUUAUUAAACAUGUUUUGAUAAACUUACUUUUUCUUGAUAUAAUCCAGCACAUUUAAGGAAGUUUUAUUCAGUAAAUAGAUGCGUCUGACGAAGUGUGACUUCACCCAUGAAAGCUUAUGCUCCAAUACGUCUGUUAGUCUGU